UAACCACUCAAGCCUAGCUUGGUAUUGGGGUUCGCGUGCUCGCGGCCCUUAAAAUCAGUGGCGGUGCCGUCUGGCUCUAAGCGUAGUAAUUCUCUCGCUAUAGAGUCCCGGCGGUUACUUGCCAGAACUCCCCACUUUAA
rnacentral:misc_RNA from 1 species